rnacentral:rRNA from 1 species
GCCAGCAGCCAUAUCACCCUGAAAAUCACAACUGGCAGCACACUGAAGCUAAGUACUGUAGGUGUGAACCUGGUCAGUACCUGGAUAGGAAACCUCCUGGGAAAAACUAAGGAUGCUGCUGGAA